UACGUAGGGUGCGAGCGUUAAUCGGAAUUACUGGGCGUAAAGCGUGCGCAGGCGGUUCGUUGUGUCGGCGGUGAAAGCCCCGGGCUUAACCUGGGAAUGGCCGUUGAAACUGGCGAACUAGAGUACUGCAGGGGAGACUGGAAUUCCUGGUGUAGCGGUGAAAUGCGCAGAUAUCAGGAGGAACACCGGUGGCGAAGGCGGGUCUCUGGGCAGUAACUGACGCUGAGGAGCGAAAGCGUGGGGAGCGAACAGG
rnacentral:rRNA from 1 species